CCGUCGACGAUGCCGCCUCCGCCUUCCGCUCCCACCCCUCCACCCAAACCGCUGCAACUCCCUCCUCUUCGCCUCCAUCCUCCCGCGACCACCCGCCGCCGCCAAGUUCUUCACCGACCUCGUUGAGCCCUACAACAUCGUCCCAGACGUUGACACUUACAACACCCUCAUCAAGUCGUUCGCCGAAUCGGGCUCCACUCGCUCUGCCUACUCGAUGAUCGAUGAAAUGCGCAAGAGGAAAAUCAAGCCCAAUUCGACCACUUUUACUAAUGCGAUCUCGGGUUUCUAUAGGGAGCAGAAGUUGGAGGACGUGGAUAAGGUUUUGGUGUUGAUGAAGGAGUAUGGGUUAAACCCAGGUUCGAAUUCAGUGUAUAAUGUGAGGAUUGAGGGGCUGUGUAAGUUGAAGAGGACGAGGGAGGCGAAGGAUUUGUAUAGGGAGAUGUUGUUGAAGGGGAUGAAGCCGAAUUGGGUGACAUAUAAUCAUUUGAUUGUUGGGUUUUGUAAAGAGGGGAUGUUGGAAGAGGCUAAAAGAGUGUAUGAGGAGAUGGGGAAGAAAAGGGUUGUGCCUGGAGAGGGUGGGUGUUAUUUUAGCUUGAUACAUUAUUUGUGUCAGGGUGGGGAUUUUGAGGCUGCGCUGGGAGUUUUUAAGGAUGCAAUGAGGAAAAAUUGGAUGCCAGGGUUUAAGACAAUGAAGAUGCUAGUGAAUGGACUGGUGAAGAUUGGGAAAGUUGAGGAGGGUAAGGAGAUUGUUGAGAAGAUAAAGGAGAAGUUCCCGACCAAAGCUGAGAUGUGGAAAGAGGUUGAAGAAAGCUUCCCCAAGCAGUAGCCUGUUGAGGAGAAGGAAUGGGCUUUUUUGGCAUGAGGAUUAGCAAAACAAGAGGUCUCACCUGGAAAAGCUCCUGGAGCAAUGAACAUCAAGAUGUUAUUUAGAAUAUUCCCAGCCUCUUUUGCACUUCUCUAUAAGGUUCCAAGUUUCGAUGAAGACUGACACUAGCAAUUUAAUCCAGCUUAGAGGCCUGUGAGAUCAUUUAUUUCGAGGGUACUUUCUGGCAAGAGAUUAAUAGCGAACUUUCAAUCUUGAAGAGGGUUUUAAUUAAGCUGACAUCAGUUUAAGCUUCACUGAAAAUUGUUGUUGAAGGGCUCUGAUGAUUUUUGUGGUUUUAAAAAUUACUUUCUGACGAGCUGUGAAGCUAUCAGAUUAAAUAAUUUUCCAAACUCGGUGUUCUUUAAAUGUUAGAUUACGUUGAGUUUAUGGCAAGGGUGAUUUCUUGGGUUAAAAAGGGUAAAUGUAGCUUAAAUGAUAUUCUGAUGUUUGCACUUUA